rnacentral:rRNA from 1 species
GAGAGAUGGGCUCGCGUCCGAUUAGAUAGUUGGCGGGGUAACGGCCCACCAAGUCGACGAUCGGUAGCCGGACUGAGAGGUUGAACGGCCACAUUGGGACUGAGACACGGCCCAGACUCCUACGGGAGGCAGCAGUGGGGGAUAUUGCACAAUGGGGGAAACCCUGAUGCAGCGAUGCCGCGUGAGUGAAGACGGCCUUCGGGUUGUAAAGCUCUGUCGCAGAGGACGAAAAUGACGGUACUCUGCAAGAAAGCUCCGGCUAACUACGUGCCAGCAGCCGCGGUAAUACGUAGGGAGCAAGCGUUGUCCGGAAUUACUGGGUGUAAAGGGAGCGUAGGCGGGAGGAUAAGUUGAAUGUGAAAUCUAUGGGCUCAACCCAUAGCUGCGUUCAAAACUGUUCUUCUUGAGUGAAGUAGAGGCAGGCGGAAUUCCUAGUGUAGCGGUGAAAUGCGUAGAUAUUAGGAGGAACACCAGUGGCGAAGGCGGCCUGCUGGGCUUUUACUGACGCUGAGGCUCGAAAGCGUGGGUAGCAAACAGGAUUAGAUACCCUGGUAGUCCACGCGGUAAACGAUGAUUACUAGGUGUGGGUGGACUGACCCCAUCC